rnacentral:antisense_RNA from 1 species
UCUUUGGCUUUGGUCAGAAAAGCACGACAUUGCUCACAUUGCUUCCAGUAUUUUAAGCCAGCUCGGGUGCUGGCUUUUUUGU